rnacentral:rRNA from 1 species
GACGAACGCUGGCGGCGUGCCUAAUACAUGCAAGUAGAACGCUGAAGGAGGAGCUUGCUCUUCUGGAUGAGUUGCGAACGGGUGAGUAACGCGUAGGUAACCUGCCUGGUAGCGGGGGAUAACUAUUGGAAACGAUAGCUAAUACCGCAUAACAGUAGAUGUUGCAUGACAUUUGCUUAAAAGGUGCAAUUGCACCACUACCAGAUGGACCUGCGUUGUAUUAGCUAGUUGGUGGGGUAACGGCUCACCAAGGCGACGAUACAUAGCCGACCUGAGAGGGGGAUCGGCCACACUGGGACUGGGACACGGCCCAGACUCCUUCGGGAGGCAGCAGUAGGGGAUCUUCGGCAAAGGACGGAAGUCUGACCGAGCAACGCCGCGGGAGUGAAGAAGGUUUUCGGAUCGUAAAGCUCUGUUGUAAGAGAAGAACGAGUGUGAGAGUGGAAAGUUCACACUGUGACGGUAUCUUAACAGAAAGGGACGGCUAACUACGUG